UACGGAGGGAGCUAGCGUUGUUCGGAAUUACUGGGCGUAAAGCGCGCGUAGGCGGCUUUGUAAGUUAGAGGUGAAAGCCCGGAGCUCAACUCCGGAACUGCCUUUAAAACUGCAUCGCUUGAAUCCAGGAGAGGUGAGUGGAAUUCCGAGUGUAGAGGUGAAAUUCGUAGAUAUUCGGAAGAACACCAGUGGCGAAGGCGGCUCACUGGACUGGUAUUGAUGCUGAGGUGCGAAAGCGUGGGGAGCAAACAGG
rnacentral:rRNA from 1 species